AGAGGUUGUCCCGCAGAGCCCCCAGAAUGGACCAACCCUAUGACACUCGGUUUUGGACUUCCUGCCUCCAGAGCUGUGAUAGAAUGUGGUUUUAAGCCACCCACCCUGUGGUCUUCUGUUUCCGCAGCCCUAAUGCAAGUCUUUUGUGUAGUCCUCUCUCACAUGGGGCAGGGCUGGCCUGGGCAAACAGUAGCAUAUUGUGGAACGACAGCAUGUGACUUCCAUCCUGACCCCUCCUGGAUCACCCUCUGUAGAGGGGAAUGGCUGCUGUGUCAUGGGGGUGCAUGAGCAGCCCAGUGGAGAGGUGCACUUGGUGAGAAACCGAUGCCUCUGCCAACCACCUGCACUAACCUGCUGGGUCUGAGACUGAGCCACUUUGGAAGCUGAUCUUGGAGCACCAGUCAAGCCCUUAGCUGGCUGCAGCCACAGCCAACAACAAGACUGCAACCUCCUGGGGGAUCCUGAGCCAGAAUCCCCUGGCUAAAUUGCUCCUUGAUUCUUAACCCACAGAAAUUGUGUAAGGAUGUGACGCCCUGUUUCAACAAGGCCUUGUUGAGCUGGGUACUGGUCCUCAUUUUAUGCAUCUGACGAGUCCAGUGGAAACACUUCAUGGAGAGCAUCUCUUCAGUGCCAAGCGACUUCCUGAGUCUCAGCAGGCCCUUGGUGCAUUCCUAGCUGAGAGUCCCCCCACCAGCCUCUCCACUACACACACCAGAAAUGGAAUGAGUUUGGCAUAUUCUCCCUGAAUGGCAUGUGGUGAGAAAUCACAAUCUCUGAUGUGCUUUUGGUAUCCCGAGUUGCAAGUUGGAAGGCUUCUUCCAAGUUUUACAGAUAGAUGGCGAUUAAAAAUUGUGCUCAAGUCAGUGCUUUCUUCUUUGUUGAAAAUUGAAUCAGUUCAUAUACGUAAACAUUUUACAUCAGUGUUCUCCACAGUGUAUGCACAGGACAAGGUGUCAUCAGUUGGGAAACAUUUGAAUUUGUCUCUGCCUGGUGCCUAUUGACAUCUUAAAUUGGAACCACUUUAAAUUCAACGUAUGGCCACAGAUGUUUUGGACCACUUAUAUUAAAUAAGUCAGUCAAAACUGAAGAUCAGCUUUUGAUCAUGAAGAGGAGAUUAGGUCACAGAUGUUCAAUAAGGAAAGACCAUGUGAAGACACAAGAAGAUGGUCAUCUGCAAGCCAAGAGAAAUGUCUCAAAAGGAACUGGCCCUGCUGACAUCUUGACCUUGAAUUUCCAGCCUCAGGUUCUUGGAUGCUUGAUGGAAUUAAGGAUUUGAGAACAUGAGAACAAACAGGAAUAUGCAGGAAAUCUUGAGGACACAGGAGAUGAAGUCAACCUGUGGCCAAGGGAGAGGGAGGGACAUGAGAAGCUUUGUGAAAGAUGUCAGCGCAAACCUCAGGCAAGUGCCACCCAACCUAGAGCUGUGGAUUGAAGUUUGGCGUUGGGGUGUCAGCCUGUGAUUUCCUGAUCUCCAACUCCACUCCUCUUAAGUCACCCAGCCUAAGGCACUGAACCUCAUCAUCAGAACCUCAGAGUCCAACAUCUUGACCAUAGCCUUGCAACCCCACUGUUAGGUGAGUUUCAAGUUCUCACUCCCCAUAAACUUCUUCAGACCACUGCUCCCUCGAAUGACUUUGUUUCCUCCCAGGUCAUCAGUUUCCUUAGUCAAUUUCCAAGUCCUAUCAGUUGUAGACACUACGAUUGGUCAUCCCAUCUGAGUGACUAUUUCACUUAAACUUGCCUUUCCUCCUCUGUUUGCAAUAACUCUCAUACAUAGCUCUAGCUUAACAUCCACGUUGCCUUCUCUAUUCUUACCUCCAGGACAGCAGAACACUAAACAUUAAGUUCUUCAAUGCUAAAAAACAUCCUGUAAUCACGAAAAUCAGCCCAGUACAAAUUCAUGCUCACUACACGUGGUUCUCAGCUGCUGUGGGGCCUCUCUCUUCCCUUCAGUAUCCACAGACUUGCAACGUUCUUCUCAGCCUUCCUUCGCACCACUAAAUUAUCUCAUUAAGUCAGGACCAUCUGGUGGGAACUCCUUUAACUUCCCAGGGCCCAGGAAAAAUAAACCAUAUUUACCCAUGCCUCCCUCUUUCUCCAUGUGCCUUUUCAAGAAGAGAGGCUCUUCUCCCAGUGUCUCUCUCCCUGAUUCCAUAUCACCCUCUCUUCUUUGGGAUACUUCUCCAAAGAGUGUGGUCUUUCAGGUAUCCUUACUGUCUUAUGACUGAGUCAUUCCACUUGGCUUAUGAACCUCUUUGUUGCUUAUUCCAGGCACUCUGAGUCUCCCCUGCAUUCAGUCUCCCUUCAGCAUACAACACUGUUCAUGAUGCUUUUUGUAAAGCCCUCUGCUUCCCCAUCCUCCUUAGAUCUUCUGCUACUACUCUGGCCAGUUUUUUCUCUGUCUGCUGCUUCUCCUUCCCUUGACCUAUUACUUCCUUCCUCCUCCUGAAGAAAUCUGAUCUGCAGCUCCUCUUCUGUUUUCAUCAGUGUGCUCACUCUUGAUGCUGCUGCUCCUGCAGCUACUGCCAAGUCUCACUUGAUAGACAGUACCCACUCCAUAUGGGGCAAGAAUAAAAAUCACCAAAAAUAGACAGUUAUAAACAAAUGUCCCUGCCCAUAAGAUUUAUGUAAUCGUACUUUAUCCAUGUGUUAUAUUGCUAAGGACAUGGUGACUGUGACAGAUGUAACAUAAUAGAUGCAAUUGACAUAUACAGUAUUUCUUAUAGCUAAACUACAGCUAAGUUAUUAUAUUUGAAAAAUAAUAUAUGAGACACAUCAAUAAUUGGUUUCAUUGUUAAAAAUAUACACACAAAGCAUCUUAAAAUAAUGUAACUAUAACAACCUGAUAACUAUAAUAAAUAUAAACAAAAAUUGUAAUAUAAGGUUGUGCUUAAUUUUUUUUUUUUUUUUUUUUUUUUUUUUUUUGAGACGGAGUCUCGCUCUGUCGCCCAGUUCCGGACUGCGGACUGCAGUGGCGCACUGCAAGCUCUCGGCUCACUGCAAGCUCUGCUUCCUGGGUUCACGCCAUUCUCCUGCCUCAGCCUCCCGAGUAGCUGGGACUACAGGCGCCUGCCACCGCGCCCGGCUAAUUUUUUGUAUUUUUUUUAGUAGAGACGGGGUUUCACCUUGUUAGCCAGGAUGGUCUCGAUCUCCUGACCUCGUGAUCCACCCGCCUUGGCCUCCCAAAGUGCUGGGAUUACAGGCGUGAGCCACCGCACCCAGCCGGUUGUGCUUAAUUUUUGAAAUUUAAAGGAUAUCUUAAGAUUUUAGUUAAAUAACAUCACAAAUAUAUGCAAGAUAAUUUCAAAUACUGCUCUCUUUUUCUUUUGAACGUGUUAUAACAAAAAACUAUACAAUAUUAUUUACUUGAGAAUAUAAAGGUUGCUUGCAAAUUAACUACUCAAUGAGACCUCAAGAAUACUUGAACAGGUAAUUUGUAGAAAAAGAAAUAAGGCUAGCCAUGAAUAUAAAAAGAUUUUCUAUCACAGAGAAAAUGGAGAAUGUGCCAACUUAAAACUAUGAGAUUGUUUGUUAGUAUGUUAGUGUGGGAGCAUGCUUUAGCAGCACUGGGCAAAGCAGCAUAUAUGGUGUGGUGAUGCACCAAAUAAAUCUGGCCCUGCUGAUUCUUUUAAAAAUAUAUUUUCUAAGAAAAAUAUAAAUAAUAUGUACAAAAAUGCUUAUAGCAAAGAUGCUUACCACAGCAUUAUUUUAAAUAAUGCUUUAAUUAUUUAUAAAAUUUAAAAACUACCAAAUAUUCCUUUGACCUUAGAACUUCAUCAAAAUCUAGUAUGUUCUCAAUACACCAUUUUUACUAAUGAAUUAGUUAUUGCAUGUAAAGCACCUGCCUAGCAUAGACAAUGAAAUGUAGCAUAUAUAAUAAUAGUCAUCAUAAUACUUAAAGUAAAACCAUAGUCAAUAUUUUUUCUUAUAAAUUUAGUGUACUUCACGCAAGUGUUCGAAAAAAGAAUGAGUACGUUUAUAAAGGAGACUUGUAUACUAUCAAAACUAUUUAAUGUUGUUGGAUAUUUUUCUCAAUCAAAAUUAUAACUGCAGCCACUCAUAAUAUUACACACAUAUAAUGCUUUCAUCUUCUCUUUUAUUGGCUAUCAGAAUACUCCACAAUUCACUGAAAAAAGUCCUACAACAAUUAUCAACUUAUUCAUUUUGACCUUAAGUUGUUGCUUUUGAAGUGCUGUAUAGAAUUACUAAGGUAGGCAGAAGCAGUGUCUUCAUGGAUCAUAUAUGUUGUGUUUUUUUGUAUUUAACUAUUUACAAAAUGUAUAGAUAUAAUCAAUAAAUGUAACAUCUUAAUCAAGAAGAAUAAUAAGAAUAAAUUAAGAAUAAACUAUAAAUAAUCAGUAGGAAUAAACUAUAAAUAUAAAUAUUUUAAUAAAUAUAUACAUUAAUAAAUGUUCAAAUGAGUGAAAUUAAACAUGUGCCAGACCCUUAAAUAGGAUUAUAGAAAAAUAGGAAAAUGAUAAAUAUUUAAUAUACAUAUACUUAAAGAUAUAAUCAUGAAUAAUGAAUAAAUUUUUUUAAGUUGUAUUUUUAUCAUGUAAAAAUGUGAAAUAGAUACAUAAAGCAUUAAUGCAGUGAAAUACUAUUUGAUAUAAUACAUCAGUUGAUGAGAAAGUGCUAACAUAAAGUUUGUAAGAUUAUAGCCAAAAUGCUCAUAUAUCUUUACCAUGAUUGACAGUUUCCCAAAUGAAGAAACCAAGAAUAUACUUAUAUACCUAUUAAGUUUUGGGCUGUAUGUUUUACACACACACACACACACACACACAUGCACACUUCUCAUGAAAUCUCUUAGGUUUUUGUUAUUUGGCCCAGAAAACUAGGCUUAGAUUUAUGAACGGAAGGAAAAUCAUACACCAAGUGGAAAAGUUAAUAUGAAAAUCUAGUUAUAACAUUGCACAUUUGUGCAUUAUUUCAAAAUUGUGCUGAGAAUACAGAAGGCACUCAAUAUUUGUUGAGAGUAUGAAUAAAUGAAUGCUAAUUUUAGUUUGCUCUUAUUUGCCUCAUUGGAGUUGUUGGAAAUCCAUUUAUUUCCUUCAGGUCCUGGGGAGCCUGAGGAACAAAGGUAUUAAGGGUAUGACUGAAUGUUACGUGUUUCAUUUCUCAUUUCUUUGUUUGGCCCAGAGAAACUGAAAGACUAAAUAUAAAUAUCCCCAAUUUACAUGUUCUUUGGUUCCUAAAGAUACAAUAAUGACUCUUCCUUAUGAAUCAUGAUUUGGAUUAUUAAUAGAGUACUGAUACCUCCCUCCAAAGCAACAAAAAAAAGUCACUCAGAGAUGACAUGGUCUUCCAGAAAUAAUUUUAAAGAUUUAAAUAAAAUUAGUUCUAAGAUUGCGUAAAUAUCUAAGUGUUGGAGUAAAUGAAAAACAGAUAACACAUCAAUGAUACUUUCAGUCUUAAUUUUCAG
rnacentral:lncRNA from 10 species